rnacentral:rRNA from 1 species
AUGCAAGAAAGAAAUGAAAUAGAUAAAAUUUUCUUUGAACAACGUCCUCUGCUUAAACACAAUUUGCCUAUUGAAACUCUAGGAGGUCCUCCUCCACCUAAAGGCGAUCCUGUGUUUGAAUUAAAACAAUUGCCAGACACUUUGAAAUAUGCUUAUCUUGAUGAAAAGAAGAUAUAUCAUGUUAUUAUUAGUGCUAACCUUUCAGAACAUGAAGAAGAAAGAUUAUUGGAAGUUCUAAGGAAGCACCGAGCUGCUAUUGGAUAUACUCUUGAUGAUUUAAAGGGCAUUAGUCCCACUCUAUGUCAGCACAAAAUUAAUAUGGAACCUGAUGCUAAACCCGUUGUUGAUCACCAACGUUGGUUAAAUCCGAAGAUGAAAGAAGUGGUAAGAACGGAAAUAUUAAAACUUUUGGAAGUAGGUAUAAUCUAUCCUAUAUCUGAUAGUAGAUGA